GCAAUUUGGGUGAGAGACAGUCAGACUGAUUGGACUCAUUGGAGAGAAUCCCAUGGCAAUCCAAAGAUGGAGGAAAUUAUGUUCCUUGGUCAAGAACCAGAACAGAAGCUUUCGCUUCACUCUCAAGUCUCUACGCGUUACGAACAACAGGCAGCAGCUAUUUCCAGUACCAACCAGGUAAAGUUCUGCGUUGCAAUCUUGGUCUCACAAGCUGCAUUCAGAUUUAUCAAUGGCAUAGAUGGUUUAGAUCUAGCUAGUCAGGACAAGGAACAGACAGAGAGAACAGAGGAAGCGAAUAAUGUUGGCAGCAGGUAUUACUGUCACCAGUGUGAUCAACUCGUCACUGUCCCUGUGGAUGUCACUAUGACAUGCCCUCUUUGCCAAGGCUGCUUUAUGGAAGAAUGUAGUGGUGCCAUGCCGUCGGAGUCAGAGCCUUCUGCAAGGGACUCUGAUGGGCAUGGUGCCAUGGUAAUCCCUUCUUCCAAUCAAACAGUCCUGGACAUUGUCGAGAACAACAAUGGUUCAGCGCCAAAUAGAUCCCCUUUUCAUAGCCUCGGUUCCCAUGAUUACGACAACUAUGGCGAGACACACCAGGCAGCAGUAAUGUUUUAGCCCACAAGCAUAAAUAAUCUUCUAUUUUAAUACUUGUCUUGCAGAAUUUUCAUAACUUUUCAUACAAAUUAUUUCUUGUUUCAGGGGCACGGUGAUUCCAACCAUAGUCAGAUACUUGUACUUGUCAUUGGCUCUGAUCAUGCUGUGACCAGCAAUAGCGUUAGCGGGCCAGGCCAUGUGGUAAGGGUCAGAAACAACUGAAAACCAUAUUUAAACGGUUUUACUGCAACUCUUUUUGUUGAAUUUCACAAAUAUAUGAAUAAUCCUAGAGUUCUUAUCACUCAUAUUUGCAGGUCCCUUAUGUUUCAAGUUCCAAUAGUGGGUCGCUUCCACUUAACCUUGUUGCGAAUGUUGGCCCUGACCAGCCACAUCAUGGGACAAGGAUUACUUCAUCCGUCUGGAUCUUUUCAGCCACUGGUUUCGGCUUUGAGGCUGUUUCGGCAUUUUUUGAUCAGGUUUCCACCCCACGGAAGACUCGUUAUGCAUUAUAUGGCAUGCUUUUGUCUAUUGUGGCUGUACUUGUUUGCAUCUUGGACCU